rnacentral:lncRNA from 1 species
GAUUUUCUAUCAAAUUCUUCUUGACGUAGCUUCUAAAACUUAUAAAAUGACCAAUUAAAAAUUGAUGACAUAAAGAGUGAUGGAAUCCCUACUCUCUAAAAAGUCAACUUUUUGUGGACUUUAAAAAGAAUUUGUAUUCUUUCGAGUUUAAGAUUGAGUGGAAAAAGUCCAUCCUUGCCUGGAGACUAGAACACUCUUACGCAACUCGG